rnacentral:rRNA from 1 species
AAAAAAGGUAAGCUACUAAGAGCGAAUGGUGGAUGCCUUGACUGGUAAAGGCGAUGAAGGACGUACUAGACUGCGAUAAGCUACGGGGAGCUGUCAAGAAGCUUUGAUCCGUAGAUUUCCGAAUGGGGCAACCCAAUGUAUAGAGAUAUACAUUACCUAUAUAGGAGCGAACGAGGGGAAUUGAAACAUCUUAGUACCCUCAGGAAAAGAAAUCAAUAGAGAUUGCGUCAGUAGCGGCGAGCGAAAGCGCAAGAGGGCAAACCCAGUGCUUGCACUGGGGGUUGUAGGACUGCAAUGUGCAAGAGGUGAGUUUAGCAGAACAUUCUGGAAAGUAUAGCCAUAGAGGGUGAUAGUCCCGUAUGCGAAAAACAAACCUUAGCUAGCAGUAUCCUGAGUAGGGCGGGACACGAGAAAUCCUGUCUGAAGCUGGGUCGACCACGAUCCAACCCUAAAUACUAAUACCAGAUCGAUAGUGCACAAGUACCGUGAGGGAAAGGUGAAAAGAACUGAGGUGAUCAGAGUGAAAUAGAACCUGAAACCAUUUGCUUACAAUCAUUCAGAGCCCUAUGUAGCAAUACAGGGUGAUGGACUGCCUUUUGCAUAAUGAGCCUGCGAGUUGUGGUGUCUGGCAAGGUUAAGCAAACGCGAAGCCGUAGCGAAAGCGAGUCUGAAUAGGGCGCUUAGUCAGAUGCUGCAGACCCGAAACGAAGUGAUCUAUCCAUGAGCAAGUUGAAGCUAGUGUAAGAACUAGUGGAGGACUGAACCCAUAGGCGUUGAAAAGCCCCGGGAUGACUUGUGGAUAGGGGUGAAAGGCCAAUCAAACUUCGUGAUAGCUGGUUCUCUCCGAAAUAUAUUUAGGUAUAGCGUUGUGUCGUAAUAUAAGGGGGUAGAGCACUGAAUGGGCUAGGGCAUACACCAAUGUACCAAACCCUAUCAAACUCCGAAUACCUUAUAUGUAAUCACAGCAGUCAGGCGGCGAGUGAUAAAAUCCGUCGUCAAGAGGGAAACAACCCAGACUACCAGCUAAGGUCCCUAAAUCUUACUUAAGUGGAAAACGAUGUGAAGUUACUUAAACAACCAGGAGGUUGGCUUAGAAGCAGCCAUCCUUUAAAGAAAGCGUAAUAGCUCACUGGUCUAGUGAUUUUGCGCGGAAAAUAUAACGGGGCUAAAGUAAGUACCGAAGCUGUAGACUUGCGCACAACUUAGAUUAUUUAAGUUUAGAAUAUGAGAAACUAAGUUAUAUGUUUAGUUAUAUUUUUACUGAUUUUUAUAGAGUAAAGAUAGAAAUAAAACUUAGUAAAAUCAGUAAAAAUAUUCUUAGACUAAAGUUAAGUAGUUUAAGUUGUGUGCAAGUGGUAGGAGAGCGUUCUAUUUGCGUCGAAGGUAUACCGGUAAGGAGUGCUGGAGCGAAUAGAAGUGAGCAUGCAGGCAUGAGUAGCGAUAAUUAAUGUGAGAAUCAUUAACGCCGUAAACCCAAGGUUUCCUACGCGAUGCUCGUCAUCGUAGGGUUAGUCGGGUCCUAAGUCGAGUCCGAAAGGGGUAGACGAUGGCAAAUUGGUUAAUAUUCCAAUACCAACAUUAGUGUGCGAUGGAAGGACGCUUAGGGCUAAGGGGGCUAGCGGAUGGAAGUGCUAGU